rnacentral:rRNA from 1 species
GACGAACGCUGGCGGCGUGCUUAACACAUGCAAGUCGAACGGAAAGGCCCUGCUUUUGUGGGGUGCUCGAGUGGCGAACGGGUGAGUAACACGUGAGUAACCUGCCCUUGACUUUGGGAUAACUUCAGGAAACUGGGGCUAAUACCGGAUAGGAGCUCCUGCUGCAUGGUGGGGGUUGGAAAGUUUCGGCGGUUGGGGAUGGACUCGCGGCUUAUCAGCUUGUUGGUGGGGUAGUGGCUUACCAAGGCUUUGACGGGUAGCCGGCCUGAGAGGGUGACCAGCCACAUUGGGACUGAGAUACGGCCCAGACUCCUACGGGAGGCAGCAGUGGGGAAUAUUGCACAAUGGGCGGAAGCCUGAUGCAGCAACGCCGCGUGCGGGAUGACGGCCUUCGGGUUGUAAACCGCUUUCGCCUGUGACGAAGCGUGAGUGACGGUAAUGGGGAAAGAAGCACCGGCGAACUACGU